rnacentral:rRNA from 1 species
GAUGAACGCUGGCGGCGUGCCUAAUACAUGCAAGUCGAGCGAACAGACGAGGAGCUUGCUCCUCUGACGUUAGCGGCGGACGGGUGAGUAACACGUGGAUAACCUACCUAUAAGACUGGGAUAACUUCGGGAAACCGGAGCUAAUACCGGAUAAUAUAUUGAACCGCAUGGUUCAAUAGUGAAAGACGGUUUUGCUGUCACUUAUAGAUGGAUCCGCGCCGCAUUAGCUAGUUGGUAAGGUAACGGCUUACCAAGGCAACGAUGCGUAGCCGACCUGAGAGGGUGAUAGGCCAAACUGGAACUGAGACACGGUCCAGACUCCUACGGGAGGCAGCAGGAGGGAAUUUUCCGCAAUUGGCGAAAGCUUGACGGAGCAACGCCGCGGGAGUGAUGAAGGUCCUCGGAUCGUAAAACUCUGUUAUUAGGGAAGAACAAAUGUGUAAGUAACUAUGCACGGCUUGACGGUACCUAAUCAGAAAGCCACGGCUAACUACGUG